rnacentral:rRNA from 1 species
ACACGACUACAUUAGAUACCCGGGUAGUCCAGGGUGUAAACGCUGCAGACUUGGUGUUGGGAACCCUUCGGGGGUACUCAGUGCCGGAGAGAAGUUGUUAAGUCUGCUACUUGGGAGUACGUCCGCAAGGAUGAAACUUAAAGGAAUUGGCGGGGGAGCACCGCAACGGGAGGAGCGUGCGGUUUAAUUGGAUUCAACGCCGAAAAACUCACCAGCAGCGACUGUUACAUGAAAGUCAGGUUGAUGACCUUACUAGAUUUUCAG